rnacentral:rRNA from 1 species
CUCCAUGAAGUCGGAAUCGCUAGUAAUCGUGGAUCAGAAUGCCACGGUGAAUACGUUCCCGGGCCUUGUACACACCGCCCGUCACACCAUGGGAGUGGGUUGCAAAAGAAGUAGGUAGCUUAACCUUCGGGAGGGCGCUUACCACUUUGUGAUUCAUGACUGGGGUGAAGUCGUAACAAGGUAACCGUAGGGGAACCUGCGGUUGGAUCACCUCCUUA